rnacentral:siRNA from 1 species
AUAGCCUAUUGUUGGACUACCAUC